CCUCUACAACCCUUAGGAUUAAGGGUUCUCUUAUAAAAGCGCGGGGCUGGGGAGGGGAAUAUGUCAGAGGUGUUCAAACCAGAGCAAGUCCAUCUUGAAUAGGGGCUGGGUAAAAUAAGGCUGAGACCUACUGGGCUGCAUUCCCAGGAGGUUGAGGCAUUCUUACUCACAGGGUGAGACAGGCGGUCAGCACAAGAUACAGAUCAUAAAGACCUUGCUAAUAAAACAGGUUGCAGUAAAGAAGCUGGCCAAAACCCAUCAAAACCAAGAUGGCCACCAAAGUGAUCUCUGGUCAUCCUCACUGCUCAUUAUACACUAAUUAUAAUGCAAUUAGCAUGCUAAGAGACACUCCCACCAGCACUAUGACUAUUUACAAAUGCAUGGCAAUGUCAGGAAGUUACCCUAUAUGGUCUAGAAAGGACAGGAACCCUCAGUUCCAGGAACUGUCCACCCCUUUCCCAGAAAACCCAUGUAUAAUUCACCCCUUAUUUAGCAUACAAUCAAGAAAUAUCUACAAGUAUCCUUAGUCCAGCAGCCCGAGCUGCUGCUCUGCCUAUGCAGUAGCCAUUCUUUAUUCCCUUACUAUCUCCAAUAAACUUGUUUUCACUAAAAAAAAAAAAAAAAAAAGACUCCAGGCCCAGAUAGUGUCAGUGGUGAAUUCCACCAAACAUUUAAGGAAAAAUAAUACUAAUUCUACACAAAUGCUUCCAAAAAAUUGAAGAGGACAGAGUGCCUUCUGCUUUAUUCUAUGAGUCCAGGAUCGCAUCAAUACCAAAACCAGACAAAGAUAGACAAGAAAACUAAAAACCAAUAUCUCUCAUGAAUAUACACAUAAAAAUUCUUAACAAAAAAAGCUUAGCAAAUCAAAUCCAAUAAUAAAGGUAAAAGAUAAUACAUGGCCAAGUGGAGUUUAUUCCAGAAAUGCAGGCUUGAUUUAACAUUAGAAAGAUCAAUCAAUAAAAUGGACAAUAGUUAGAACUAAAAAGAAAAAAAAAAGUCAAAGAUUAAAAACAAGGCAAGAUUUUCUGCUCCCAUGACUUCUAUUUAAUAUUGUAUUGGAGGUUCUAACCAUGCCAUCAAACAAGAAAAAGAAAUAAAAGGUAAUCAGGUUGGAAAGAAAGAAGGAAAAUUGUAUUCAAAGAUUAUGUCAUUAUCUUUGUAGAAAAUCCCAAAGAAUCUACAGAAAAGAUCCUAGAACUAGUAAGUGAGUUCAGCAAGAUUGCAAGAUACAACAUCAAUAUACAAAAAGCAGCUGUAUUUCUAUAUCUUGGCAAACAACAAUCAGAAACAAAAAUAAACAAUAUAAUUUACAAUAAUAUAAAUAAUUGAAAUGCUGAAAGAUAAAUCUGACAAAAGAUAUACAAGACCCGUAUGCUAAAAAGUACAAAACAUUACUGAAAGAAAUUAAGGACCUAAAUAAGCGGAGCAAUAUACUAUGUUCAUGGAAGAUUCACUAUUGUUUAGAUGUUAAUUUCCCUCAAAUUGAUCUAAAGAUUUAAAGUAUUCCCAACAAAAAUCCCAACAGGCUUUUUUUCUAGCAGGUGCCAAGCUGACUGACAAUUCAUAUGUAAGUACAAAGGACCCAGAAUGGCAAAAACAACUUUCAACAAGAAAAAAAUUAGAAGACUUACAGUACAUGACUUUAAGACUUAUAACACUAUAAUGAUCAAGACAAUGUGCUAUUGGCAACAAGACAGACAAAUGGACCAAUGGAACAGUUCAUCCAUACUCAACAUGGAUGAAUCUUUUUUUUUUUUUUUUUUUUUUUUUUUUUUUUUGAAAAAGAAAGAGUUUUGCUCUUGUUGCCCAGGCUGGAGUGCAAUGGCACGAUCUUGGCUCACCGCAACCUCCGCCUCCCGGGUUCAAGCAAUUCUCCUGCCUCAGCCUCCCGAGUAGCUGGGACUACAGGCAUGUGCCACCAUGCCUGGCUAAUUUUGUAUUUUUAGUAGAGACGGGGUUUCUCCAUGUUGGUCAGGCUGGUCUUGAACUCCUGACCUCAGAUGAUCUGCCCACCUUGGCCUCCCAA
rnacentral:lncRNA from 1 species